GAUCAACGCUGGCGGCGUGCAUGAGACAUGCAAGUCGAACGAAGGAUCGGGCUUGCUCGAUCCUUAGUGGCGGACGGCUGAGUAACGCGUAGGUGACCUACCCCGAAGUGGGGAAUAACUGCCCGAAAGGGUGGCUAAUACCGCAUGUGGUCGCACGUUCAUUCGUGCGAGUAAAGCCGCAAGGCGCUUCGGGAGGGGCCUGCGUCCGAUUAGCUCGUUGGUGGGGUAAUGGCUUACCAAGGCGACGAUCGGUAGGUGGUCUGAGAGGACGAUCACCCAGACUGGGACUGAGACACGGCCCAGACUCCUACGGGAGGCAGCAGUCGGGAAUGUUGCUCAAUGGGGGAAACCCUGAAGCAGCAACGCCGCGUGAGGGAUGAAGGCCUUCGGGUUGUAAACCUCUUUUGUCAGGGACGAUGAUGACGGUACCUGGCGAAUAAGCCACGGCUAACUACGUG
rnacentral:rRNA from 1 species